rnacentral:rRNA from 1 species
AUACGAAGGGUGCAAGCGUUAAUCGGAAUUACUGGGCGUAAAGCGCGCGUAGGUGGUUUUGUAAGUUGGAGGUGAAAGCCCCGGGCUCAACCUGGGAAUUGCCUCCAAAACUGCAUGACUAGAGUACGGUAGAGGGUAGUGGAAUUUCCUGUGUAGCGGUGAAAUGCGUAGAUAUAGGAAGGAACACCAUUGGAGAAGGCGAUUACCUGGACUGAUACUGACAUUGGGGUGCAAAAGCGUGGGGACCAAACAGGUUUAUUGCCCUGGUGGUCCCACGCCGUAAACGAGGUCAACUAGCCGUUGGGAUCCUUGAGAUCUUAGUGGCGCAGCUAACGCAUUAAGUUGACCGCCUGGGGAGUACGGCCGCAAGGUUAAAACUCAAAUGAAUUGACGGGG